UACUAGAUAAAAAUAAAUACAUGAAAGAAUAAUUUAUUUUCUUGAAUAAAAUAAUUUUUCAUAAUUUUUGCGCCACGAUAGUAGCGCCACCACCGGAAAGCGGUAAUCGGAGAAAUCAAAAGCCAUGCGAGUCAACCGGCUGAAAAAUGGCACAAAUUACAUGAAAUAAGAAUAGGGAAGAAGAGGGCCAACCAAAUGAUGCCAUGAUUACUGCUGAAAAUGUUUGGAUAAAUACGCCCAUUGGUAGAAAAAUGCCCGAUUUGCCCGCCAUAGAAAUGACGAACCAGACAGAUGCAGGGACGGAGGUUACAAAACAAAAGAAAAAGAAGAAAAAAUCUAAGAAUCAAAAUAAAGACUCGAGCAGGAAUGAUUUUCAACAAUCACAUGAAGACACGAAAAAUUGCACAGUCCAAACAGAAGCAGAUUAAUGAAACCAAAUUGGAGAUAACCUGAAUGUUUACAUUGAUGAUCAUUCAUUUGAUGUUAAAAAUAUUCUUUUCAGAGUGACCAAAAUGUAUGAAAGGUAACCAUCACAAAAAUCAGAAAUAAAAAAAAGUAACAGAGUGCCAUUGGUAUUAUUUAAACCAUUUGGAUAAAAGGAUUUCUUGCAUAGUACUUUCAAACGCGAAGCACUUUUAUAGAAUCUUAAUUGGUAGAUUUUUUUUCGUUUCAUUCGACGGCAAAAUUUUCUAUCGUGUCAUUUUUCUAUUGAUUAUAAGGAAAAAUGUCAUCGAAUUGAUGUUAUAAUGAAAAUAUCUGUUUUUCAGUUCUGCUUUCAAUGUUUAUCGUACACAUAUAGAAGUUUGCUUAAGCUGUUAUUAUAUAAAAAUGAUGUCAUGUUGGGAUGAUGCUAAGGAAACUUCACCUUUUAAUAACGUUACAUAUAUAUGAUUUUAAAAUGAUGUCAAUUUAAAAAAAAAAAACAAUUGUCAUAUGACGAAGAGAAUUUUUAUCAUGUUUUCAAAUUUGUAAAAAUAAGUUUUAGAUUUAAAAGUAUUUCAUGUUUUAAUUCCGUCCUGUGAAGAUGUAGAUAUUUUGCGUUAUGAAGUUUGUUCCGAAAUAUUAUUUUCCCAAAGGUUUUUUAAUCAUAAAAUAGUGUAUUACUAUAACGCGUUAGUAGAUACAAGCUAAUAAUUGAAUUUCAAAACCUCAUUUUUAAAGUUGUUCAAGAACUAAGUCAAUCUAACGUGUUUAGUUCUAUAGUCAUUCACUGCCAAUCUUGGUUUAAAAUUGAAGAAGUUGGAAAUUUUUCCUCCAAAAGUUCAGCAAUGUCAUUUGUAGUGUAUUGAUUUGUUUUUCUUCUGUAUAAAAUAACAAACUAUUUCUUUUAAUUCAUUUUUGUCAUAAAUACUAAUAAUUAGAUUUUGUUGAUGUGUGUGACAAUAUACUAUUAAAAAAAUGAAUUGUAA